UGAUUAGCGGCGGACGGGUGAGUAAUGCCUAGGAAUCUGCCUAUUAGUGGGGGACAACGUUUCGAAAGGAACGCUAAUACCGCAUACGUCCUACGGGAGAAAGCAGGGGACCUUCGGGCCUUGCGCUAAUAGAUGAGCCUAGGUCGGAUUAGCUAGUUGGUGAGGUAAUGGCUCACCAAGGCGACGAUCCGUAACUGGUCUGAGAGGAUGAUCAGUCACACUGGAACUGAGACACGGUCCAGACUCCUACGGGAGGCAGCAGUGGGGAAUAUUGGACAAUGGGCGAAAGCCUGAUCCAGCCAUGCCGCGUGUGUGAAGAAGGUCUUCGGAUUGUAAAGCACUUUAAGUUGGGAGGAAGGGCAGUAAAUUAAUACUUUGCUGUUUUGACGUUACCGACAGAAUAAGCACCGGCUAACUCUGUGCCAGCAGCCGCGGUAAUACAGAGGGUGCAAGCGUUAAUCGGAAUUACUGGGCGUAAAGCGCGCGUAGGUGGUUUGUUAAGUUGGAUGUGAAAGCCCCGGGCUCAACCUGGGAACUGCAUCCAAAACUGGCAAGCUAGAGUACGGUAGAGGGUGGUGGAAUUUCCUGUGUAGCGGUGA
rnacentral:rRNA from 1 species